rnacentral:rRNA from 1 species
AGAGUUUGAUCCUGGCUCAGAACGAACGCUGGCGGCAGGCCUAACACAUGCAAGUCGAACGAGAAGCCACCUUCGGGUGGUGGACAGUGGCAGACGGGUGAGUAACGCGUGGGAACGUGCCUUUCGGUUCGGGAUAACCCAGGGAAACUUGGACUAAUACCGGAUACGCCCUUCGGGGGAAAGAUUUAUUGCCGAAAGAUCGGCCCGCGUCGGAUUAGCUAGUUGGUGAGGUAAAAGCUCACCAAGGCGACGAUCCGUAGCUGGUCUGAGAGGAUGACCAGCCACACUGGGACUGAGACACGGCCCAGACUCCUACGGGAGGCAGCAGUGGGGAAUAUUGGACAAUGGGCGCAAGCCUGAUCCAGCCAUGCCGCGUGGGUGAAGAAGGCCUUAGGGUUGUAAAUCCCUUUCAGCGGGGAAGAUAAUGACGGUACCCGCAGAAGAAGCCCCGGCUAACUCCGUGCCAGCAGCCGCGGUAAUACGGAGGGGGCUAGCGCUGUUCGGAAUUACUGGGCGUAAAGCGCGCGUAGGCGGACCUGUAAGUCGGGGGUGAAAGCCCGAGGCUCAACCUCGGAACUGCCUCCGAUACUACAGGUCUUGAGUCCGAGAGAGGUGAGUGGAAUUCCUAGUGUAGAGGUGAAAUUCGUAGAUAUUAGGAAGAACACCAGUGGCGAAGGCGGCUCACUGGCUCGGUACUGA